rnacentral:tRNA from 1 species
GGAGGAAUACCCAAGUCCNUUGAAAACCGACAGGCGGGUUAAACCGCGCGGGGGUUCGAAUCCCUCUUCCUCCGCCA